rnacentral:lncRNA from 1 species
CCAAAUAGGAAUCGGCAGCAAUACUUAGAUUCAUUCCUUUGAAAUCCAGUGAUGAGGAUAAGCCACGUGUUGCUGUUACAAAAAUCCUGACGCUUUUGGAAAAGGCAAAAAGUCGAUCAUGUGAGACAAAGAAGUAAAGUGAAACUAAAUACUUUUAUUGUACUUCUGGAAACAAAUCAGAGAAACAGAGGAAGCAAAGUGUAUUAUCUUUGCUGUAGAGAAUACAUAGUGCUUCUUCAGUUCCAGAUGAAAAAGCCAGAUUUAACCAAAUCAGAAAUCCCUGUACUGAAUGGUCUUAUAAAUGCUAGGUGAGAAGCAAUCUGUGAUGUAGUGAUGAAGAAGGAAGAGCUGCUUGGCAGAAGUGGUACCUGACAUGAUAAACAGCUGUGGAGAACAGGAAAUCUGCAUGGGUAUUGAAUCACGAGAACUGCUUUUCUACAUCAUGAGAAAGGCCUCUCAAGUGACUUGAGCUGAUAGAAGCUGGAGGACAGGAGCUUGAGUGAAUGUAAGCUCAAGAACAGCGAGCAGAGGAGGCCAUGAAGCUUGUUGCCUCCAGCAUCAGAGUGACUAGGGUAUUUCAUUCGCAGCCUUGAGAGAGACUGAAGGGACAUGCAGGCCUUGACAAGAUCUCUGGUGCAUUCCUGAGCACUGGGAGCAGGUGGUGUCUGAUGUGUGGGGCUGCUCCCAACCUGGGGGGCCAGCACCUGCGUUGCUUGUGCUGGUGUUUCCUCAGUGCUGGUGGGUGCACUCUGCCUUGGACUUGCUGGUUUCUGGCAGGGUCUAGGUCUGGUGGCUACGGGACGCCUUAUGUAUGUCAAGUUGUAGAAUUUGCGUGUGGCGUGUGCAGGCUUGAGAGGGGAUGCAGGGACAUCCAGGGAUGGUACACAAGUUGGCAGAGGCUCUCUCUCCUCCCCUGAGAUGCUGCUGUGGCUGAAUGUGUCCCUGAUCUCCAGCUGUCCACCUCAUGCUGAAGGUUUCCAGGCACUGAAGACGCUGGAGGCAGGGCCUCUGCAUCACCAAAUGAUGUGCUCCCUGGAUCUUUGGCUGCCACUGUCACAGCGUCUCUCUCAGCAGUGUCUUUUCCUCCUUCCUGCUCAUCUGUCAGAACAGCACUUGUGGUUGAAGAGCAAUGACAGCAGGGCAGGAAGCUGCUCCCUCUCCUGGCAGAGCUGGCCCUCUCUUUGCUGCUCUUGACAUCCAGCAUGGCCUGAGAAGUGCCAGCACCUUUGGCACCAUUGUCUGCUGCCUGCUCUGCUGCCAGGAAACAUGAAGUAGAGACCCUGUCAGCAUCUCUGGUGUCAGCAUCUCCGGUGUCUUCCUGAGCACUGGCAGCAGAUUGUGUCUCAUCCUCGGGGCCUUUCCCAGCCUUGGGGGCCAGCACCUGGGUUGUUUGUGCUGGUGUGCUCACAGUGAUGGUGGGUGCACGUCGCCCAGGCCGUGUUGGCUUCAGGCAGGCUCCUGGUCGUGUGGCUCCCAAACGCACCCAAUAUGCUAGCCUGAGGAACUUGGGCGUUCUUUCUGCAGGCUUGAGGGGGAGUGCAUGGACACAGAUCUGCCUGCCAGCCCUCGGCCCUCGCUGCCGUAUCCUGGUAAUGAUGGCUCUGCCUCUUGGAAAAUG